rnacentral:rRNA from 1 species
CUACGGGGCGCUGCAGUGGGGAAUAUUGCACAAUGGGCGCAAGCCUGAUGCAGCCGUGCCGCGUGUAUGAAGAAGGCCUUCGGGUUGUAAAGUACCUUCAGCGGGGAGGAAGGGAGUAAAGUUAAUACCUUUGCUCAUUGACGUUACCCGCAGAAGAAGCACCGGCUAACUCCGUGCCAGCAGCCGCGGUAAUACGGAGGGUGCAAGCGUUAAUCGGAAUUACUGGGCGUAAAGCGCACGCAGGCGGUUUGUUAAGUCAGAUGUGAAAUCCCCGGGCUCAACCUGGGAACUGCAUCUGAUACUGGCAAGCUUGAGUCUCGUAGAGGGGGGUAGAAUUCCAGGUGUAGCGGUGAAAUGCGUAGAGAUCUGGAGGAAUACCGGUGGCGAAGGCGGCCCCCUGGACGAAGACUGACGCUCAGGUGCGAAAGCGUGGGGAGCAAACAGGAUUAGAUACCCCGGUAGUC